rnacentral:rRNA from 1 species
CCUACGGGAGGCAGCAGGGAGGAAUAUUGGUCAAUGGGCGCGAGCCUGAACCAGCCAAGUAGCGUGAAGGAUGACGGCCCUACGGGGUGUAAACUUCUUUUGUCAGGGAGCAAGUGGGUCCACGCGUGGGCUUAGCGAGAGGACCUGAAGAAAAAGCAGCGGUUAACUCCGUGCCAGCAGCCGCGGUAAUACGGAGGAUGCGAGCGUUAUCCGGAUUUCUUGGGUUGAAAGGGUGCGUAGGCGGAAUAUCAAGUCAGCGGUAAAAAUUCGGGGCUCAACCCCGUCGUGCCGUUGAAACUGCUGUUCUUGAGUGGGCGAGACGUAUGCGGAAUGCGUGGUGUAGCGGU